ensembl:misc_RNA Metazoa_SRP Metazoan signal recognition particle RNA
ACUGGGUGUGGUAGUGGGACCUGUAGUCCCAGCUACUUGGGAGGCUGAGGCAGGAGGAUUGCAUGAGCCCAGGAGGUCAGGGCUGCAGUGAGCCAUGAUGGCACCACUGUACUCCUGCCUGGGAAAUAAAGUGAGACCCUGUCUCUA